rnacentral:lncRNA from 1 species
CAGGCUGCAGUGUCAAUGCUGUGUGAAAACUCACCGGGUGCAGCAGCGGCUCCUCAGGGCUCCUGGAGCAGCUGGGGCUGUGGGGCCGUGCCCUGCUGCACCACCCCAUCCACGGCCUCUGAGCACAGAGCAGGGGAAUGAAGCAGUAAGGCCUCCCUUAUGCACAACGAGAGGGGCUUUUAAAUAAAAAGCAUUUUAUUGUCAUUCUAUCAUACCUCUGUGUAAAAAUAUGGGGGAUUUUUCUUCCUGAAGUGUUUACAAAGAACACGGGUUAAGGAAGGCGUAAUGAAUGUGGAAUUAUCAGCAGUGAGUUUCUAUGAGGUGAAGACACAAACCGGCUCCCGUUCCUCUCUGGAGGUACACAAGAAGGACGUGAUGCUCUGCCACGGCCACAACACACAGCACACUGCAGAGAAUGGCUGCUGACGGCCAGCCCCAACAUUCCUUGUUUUAUUUAUAUCAGACCUCAAAGUAUUUCUGUUAAAUAACCACCUUGUGAUAUAUAAAACCUUCGGAUUCAAAUGAGUAGUUAACUUCCUGCGUUGUCUUUAAGGCACAUUAUUUCGAUCCAUUUCAUUUUGGUCCAGAGAAGCAAGUGCACUUCAGCCAGCAGCUAGCCAGGGAUCUGACACCUGGCUUUGUUGUAUCUCUCCGUGUGUCCAUAGACCUCAACCACAUGGACUGAAUUCACUGUGUGCUGAGCACUGCUGUGUCCCGGCCCCGUGUGCCUCCCAGGCGUGCCGCUGCUGCUGCUGCUGCUGCUGAGCUUGGGCAGCUGCUCACUGGCUUUGCAGCGCCCCAGAGCUGCCGUGUCCCGAGUCCACUCCUCCUGGAAUCUGUAGAAGCCUUGGUUGUCGUACGCCACGUUAGCCAUGUCGUCAAAUACAGAUUUAUUCCUGAGUUUCUUGUUGUUGUUGUUAUUUCUUCCCUUAUAACCAAAGUAAGCAGCAUGCAUGUUCUCCAGCUCUUCAGUUCUGAGCUGAUACCACAGCUGCAUGU